rnacentral:rRNA from 1 species
GACGAACCGUCCAAACGUUAUUCGGAAUCACUGGGCUUAAAGGGUGCGUAGGCGGUCCGGUAAGUUGGGUGUGAAAGCCCUCGGCUCAACCGAGGAAUUGCGCCCAAAACUGUCGGACUCGAGGAAGAUAGAGGUGAGCGGAACUUAGGGUGGAGCGUUGAAAUGCGUUGAUAUCCUAAGGAACACCAGUAGCGAAAGCGGCUCACUAGGUCUUUUCUGACGCUGAGGCACGAAAGCUAGGGGAGCGAACGGG